rnacentral:rRNA from 1 species
CCUACGGGUGGCUGCAGUGAGGAAUAUUGGUCAAUGGGCGAGAGCCUGAACCAGCCAAGUCGCGUGUAGGAUGAAGGAUCUAUGGUUUGUAAACUCCUUCUAUAUGGGAAUAAAGUGUGGAACGUGUUCCUUUUUGUAUGUACCAUAUGAAUAAGCAUCGGCUAACUUCGUGCCAGCAGCCGCGGUAAUACGGAGGAUGCGAGCGUUAUCCGGAUUUAUUGGGUUUAAAGGGUGCGUAGGUGGUUAAUUAAGUCAGCGGUGAAAGUUUGUGGCUCAACCAUAGAAUUGCCGUUGAAACUGGUUGACUUGAGUAUAUUAGAGGUAGGCGGAAUGCGUGGUGUAGCGGUGAAAUGCGUAGAGAUCACGCAGAACUCCGAUUGCGAAGGCAGCUUACUAAACUAUGACUGACGCUGAGGCGCGAAAGCGUGGGGAUCAAACAGGAUUAGAUACCCCGGUAGUC